GCUCAGGAUGAACGCUGGCGGCGUGCCUAAUACAUGCAAGUCGAGCGAACAGACGAGGAGCUUGCUCCUCUGACGUUAGCGGCGGACGGGUGAGUAACACGUGGAUAACCUACCUAUAAGACUGGGAUAACUUCGGGAAACCGGAGCUAAUACCGGAUAAUAUAUUGAACCGCAUGGUUCAAUAGUGAAAGACGGUUUUGCUGUCACUUAUAGAUGGAUCCGCGCCGCAUUAGCUAGUUGGUAAGGUAACGGCUUACCAAGGCAACGAUGCGUAGCCGACCUGAGAGGGUGAUCGGCCACACUGGAACUGAGACACGGUCCAGACUCCUACGGGAGGCAGCAGUAGGGAAUCUUCCGCAAUGGGCGAAAGCCUGACGGAGCAACGCCGCGUGAGUGAUGAAGGUCUUCGGAUCGUAAAACUCUGUUAUUAGGGAAGAACAAAUGUGUAAGUAACUAUGCACGUCUUGACGGUACCUAAUCAGAAAGCCACGGCUAACUACGUGCCAGCAGCCGCGGUAAUACGUAGGUGGCAAGCGUUAUCCGGAAUUAUUGGGCGUAAAGCGCGCGUAGGCGGUUUUUUAAGUCUGAUGUGAAAGCCCACGGCUCAACCGUGGAGGGUCAUUGGAAACUGGAAAACUUGAGUGCAGAAGAGGAAAGUGGAAUUCCAUGUGUAGCGGUGAAAUGCGCAGAGAUAUGGAGGAACACCAGUGGCGAAGGCGACUUUCUGGUCUGUAACUGACGCUGAUGUGCGAAAGCGUGGGGAUCAAACAGGAUUAGAUACCCUGGUAGUCCACGCCGUAAACGAUGAGUGCUAAGUGUUAGGGGGUUUCCGCCCCUUAGUGCUGCAGCUAACGCAUUAAGCACUCCGCCUGGGGAGUACGACCGCAAGGUUGAAACUCAAAGGAAUUGACGGGGACCCGCACAAGCGGUGGAGCAUGUGGUUUAAUUCGAAGCAACGCGAAGAACCUUACCAAAUCUUGACAUCCUCUGACCCCUCUAGAGAUAGAGUUUUCCCCUUCGGGGGACAGAGUGACAGGUGGUGCAUGGUUGUCGUCAGCUCGUGUCGUGAGAUGUUGGGUUAAGUCCCGCAACGAGCGCAACCCUUAAGCUUAGUUGCCAUCAUUAAGUUGGGCACUCUAAGUUGACUGCCGGUGACAAACCGGAGGAAGGUGGGGAUGACGUCAAAUCAUCAUGCCCCUUAUGAUUUGGGCUACACACGUGCU
rnacentral:rRNA from 1 species